rnacentral:rRNA from 1 species
UACGUAGGGUGCAAGCGUUGUCCGGAAUCAUUGGGCGUAAAGAGCUCGUAGGCGGCUCGGUAAGUCGGGUGUGAAACCCCCAGGCUCAACCUGGGGACGCCACCCGAUACUGCUGUGGCUAGAGUCCAGUAGGGGAGUGUGGAAUUCCCGGUGUAGUGGUGAAAUGCGUAGAUAUCGGGAGGAACACCAGUGGCGAAGGCGGCGAUCUGGGAAGAUACUGACGCUGAGGUGCGAAAGCGUGGGGAGCAAACAGG